rnacentral:lncRNA from 1 species
GAAGUUCCAGGAUGAAGGAUUACAAGAGGUUUGUAAGAAAACUCCAGGGGUACAGUGGUUCAGAAAUGGACAUAACAGCCUAGAGGAAGACCUGGGAGAAGCCCUUGAAUAACCAUUGGUCCAUUGUGCAUCUAGGGUCCUUAACAAAAAGAUAAAAGACAAGUGUAUAAUAUGUUGGAAAAAAAAUUUCCCAUUCCCACACAGCAACUUUCAGUAAAUACUUUUGUAAUUGCCCAUGAGUUGUCAAGCACUCAUGAGAUGAAGUUCCAACUCUACAGAUGAAAGCCCUGUUUUUGAAUCAAGCACUUCAUGAGUAAGGAUUUCACAAAGCUGCAAAAUCUGCUCUUGAGAACCCCUGACAACUAAAUAUUCCAUGGCUUCCACUGAUAAUCAUGCUGCUUGUCAUAUACCAGGAGGUAUCAACAAUCACCAAGCUCUCGUGCAUUAACUACCUGUUUCACCUCCAUUGAGGAUAUGUCUCAGGUCAAUAAUUGGAUCUAUGAAACCUGGCUGUGAUAAAUACCAAGGAAUUCUAUGCCAGUUCACAGCAGUAAGAGUGCAGAAGUGCCAGAAGCUGAUGUGCCCAAGAACUGAGCCCAAGUCUUAGCACAAGAUCUCCAUCCAUCAAAUAACUGUAAUUUAUCACCCAGACUGAGACAUUUCUGAGAGUGAAAGGGAGCUUCAUGAGUAAUUAUUCCAGAACAACUGGAGUAUAUUGGGACUGUCUUAGACAAACUAAAAGGCAAAGUCAUUCUACUGCCAUUCUACUCCCAAACUUCUAGACUCUGGCUGAUUCUCUCCACAGACCUCUUCCCGGUGAAAAUAUCCUCCUCUUUGUAGCAUAU